GAUGAACGCUGGCGGCGUGCCUAAUACAUGCAAGUCGAGCGAACAGACGAGGAGCUUGCUCCUUUGACGUUAGCGGCGGACGGGUGAGUAACACGUGGGUAACCUACCUAUAAGACUGGGAUAACUUCGGGAAACCGGAGCUAAUACCGGAUAAUAUUUCGAACCGCAUGGUUCGAUAGUGAAAGAUGGCUUUGCUAUCACUUAUAGAUGGACCUGCGCCGUAUUAGCUAGUUGGUAAGGUAACGGCUUACCAAGGCAACGAUACGUAGCCGACCUGAGAGGGUGAUCGGCCACACUGGAACUGAGACACGGUCCAGACUCCUACGGGAGGCAGCAGUAGGGAAUCUUCCGCAAUGGGCGAAAGCCUGACGGAGCAACGCCGCGUGAGUGAUGAAGGUCUUCGGAUCGUANAACUCUGUUAUUAGGGAAGAAUAAACGUGUAAGUAACUGUGCACGUCUUGACGGUACCUAAUCAGAAAGCCACGGCUAACUACGUGCCAGCAGCCGCGGUAAUACGUAGGUGGCAAGCGUUAUCCGGAAUUUAUGGGCGUAAAGCGCGCGUAGGCAGUUUUUUAGUCUGAUGUGAAAGCCCACGGCUCAACCGUGGAGGGUCAUUGGAAACUGGAAAACUUGAGUGCAGAAGAGGAAAGUGGAAUUCCAUGUGUAGCGGUGAAAUGCGCAGAGAUAUGGAGGAACACCAGUGGCGAAGGCGACUUUCUGGUCUGUAACUGACGCUGAUGUGCGAAAGCGUGGGGAUCAAACAGGAUUAGAUACCCUGGUAGUCCACGCCGUAAACGAUGAGUGCUAAGUGUUAGGGGGUUUCCGCCCCUUAGUGCUGCAGCUAACGCAUUAAGCACUCCGCCUGGGGAGUACGACCGCAAGGUUGAAACUCAAAGGAAUUGACGGGGACCCGCACAAGCGGUGGAGCAUGUGGUUUAAUUCGAAGCAACGCGAAGAACCUUACCAAAUCUUGACAUCCUUUGACCCUUCUAGAGAUAGAAGUUUCCCCUUCGGGGGACAAAGUGACAGGUGGUGCAUGGUUGUCGUCAGCUCGUGUCGUGAGAUGUUGGGUUAAGUCCCGCAACGAGCGCAACCCUUAAGCUUAGUUGCCAUCAUUAAGUUGGGCACUCUAAGUUGACUGCCGGUGACAAACCGGAGGAAGGUGGGGAUGACGUCAAAUCAUCAUGCCCCUUAUGAUUUGGGCUACACACGUGCUACAAUGGACAAUACAAAGGGCAGCGAAACCGCGAGGUCAAGUAAAUCCCAUAAAGUUGUUCUCAGUUCGGAUUGUAGUCUGCAACUCGACUACAUGAAGCUGGAAUCGCUAGUAAUCGUAGAUCAGCAUGCUACGGUGAAUACGUUCCCGGGUCU
rnacentral:rRNA from 1 species